GAUAAGUAAUGDGANUUGCAGAAUUCAGUGAAUCAUCGAAUCUUUGAACGCACCUUGCGCCCCUUGGUAUUCCGAGGGGCACGCCUGUUUGAGUGUCGUGAAAUUCUC
rnacentral:rRNA from 1 species